GUUGAGCCCGCGGCCUAUCAGCUUGUUGGUGGGGUGAUGGCCUACCAAGGCGGUGACGGGUAGCCGGCCUGAGAGGGCGACCGGCCACACUGGGACUGAGACACGGCCCAGACUCCUACGGGAGGCAGCAGUGGGGAAUAUUGCACAAUGGGCGCAAGCCUGAUGCAGCGACCCGCGUGAGGGAUGACGGCCUUCGGGUUGUAAACCUCUUUCGCCAGGGACGAAGGGUGAUACUGACGGUACCUGGAGAAGAAGCACCGGCUAACUACGUGCCAGCAGCCGCGG
rnacentral:rRNA from 1 species